UUGAACGCUGGCGGUAUGCUUUACACAUGCAAGUCGAACGGCAGCACGGGGCAACCUGGUGGCGAGUGGCGAACGGGUGAGUAAUGUAUCGGAACAUAUCCGGAAGUGGGGGAUAACGUACCGAAAGGUACGCUAAUACCGCAUAUGCCCUGAGGGGGAAAGGGGGGGAUCGCAAGACCUCUCGCUUUCGGAGUGGCCGAUAUCGGAUUAGCUAGUAGGUGAGGUAAAGGCUCACCUAGGCGACGAUCCGUAGCUGGUCUGAGAGGACGACCAGCCACACUGGAACUGAGACACGGUCCAGACUCCUACGGGAGGCAGCAGUGGGGAAUUUUGGACAAUGGGCGCAAGCCUGAUCCAGCCAUACCGCGUGAGUGAAGAAGGCCUUCGGGUUGUAAACCGCUUUUGUCAGGGAAGAAACGCUCUGGGCUAAUACCCUGGGGUAAUGACGGUACCUGAAGAAUAAGCACCGGCUAACUACGU
rnacentral:rRNA from 1 species